CCCAAUUGCUUUCUUUCAACACAGGUGCAGUCUGAUUCAACAUUGUUGUUUACUCUGAUCCGGUACCCCUUCUUAAACAUAUUGGAUGUGGGUGUGAUGGAUUUAGUUAUAGUAUUGAAUAACAAGCAUAAAGUGGAUGUGAAGUCAACAUAUAUGAAUAUGAUAUCGUGAUUUUCAUUCUUUUCUGUUGGGUUCAUUUUUCCAUGUUUGAAUGACAAUAUUGUAAUCUAUUUAUUUUAUGGAUUGUGUUGUUUGUUUUGGACAUAUUUUUAUUUAGUAUAUUCACGGUUGUAUUUUUAUAUUUUUUUUGGUACAUCGGGUGUAUUAUUUCUUUUUAUUUUAGCGAUUUUACGUUGAUAACUUCUCUAAAAUAUUUCAUUUUCUCUCUUUUUUUUCUCUUUCCAAUUUUAAUCAUUUUAUAUUAUUCUUCAUUUCAGCUUUUGAUCAUUUUAUCUUUUCAACUCAUUCAAGUUUUUUUUCAUAUUCUUCAUUUGAAUUAUAGUAAAAGCAAAUUUGAAAACCAAUGACUGAUAAAAAUAAAACUCGAAGAAUUAUUUUGAAUAUUUUUCAAUAUAAAUAGUAUGUAAAUCAUAUAAUAUUGAAUGCACUACUUUAUUUUCUAAGUAAUUAUUUUUAAAAAUUGAAAUUUCAUUAAUUGUUCAUAUAUAGAUUAAAAAUGUUUUGUUAUGAACUCAUACAGGUUGUAUAGCAUCAAGUGCAGACCCAAAUGUUGUUCUAGAUGUUUCUGAAUAUUUUGUUGUCUGAUAAGGUAAUAUAAUUUUCUUAUGCAAUUUCUGGUUAUAAGCAAAAGAUGAAAUGAAAUUCUCACUACAAGAAAAUAAUCAUAUACCGGCAGUCAAAUAGCGGCAGUUGCUCACUAACCGCAGCCGCUUCCACAUAUACCAGCAGUUUGGUAGCCGCCGCUAAUGUUUAUAUAAUACCGGCUGUUGGCUUAUAUCUAACACCGUCGGUUUGAAUCACCGCUGAUUGCUUAUAGUAGAUUUGGGAAAAACACCGCUACCUUAUCUACUUUCCCUUGUUUUUUUCUUCACUUUUCCCUCAUAUUUUUCCUUCUUUACCUCAUCCUCAGAAGAAGCGUCAAAAUUGCUCCCGUCCUUUCGACGCCGUAGUUCCAUCCACAGUUGUUGUUCCUCUCGUCGCCACCGCAGCUCCUCCUCAACACAGGUUUCAUCGCUCUCUUUUUCCCCCUCUCUCUUCCUGUCUCCGAUUACGAUCCCUUGUUAUCCAUGUGUUUGGUUAGGAUUUUUCUCUUGUUUUGCUUAAUUUGUUAAUUUCUUGGAUUCUUCUACAAUUUGAUUUUAGGGUUUUUAAGUUUAGUGGUUUAAUUUCUUGGAUUCUUCUACAGUUUGAUUUUUAGGGUUUUUGAGUUUAGUGAUUUAAUUUCUUGGAUUCUUCUGCAUUUUGAUUUUUAGUGUUUUGAUAGUUUGUUAAUUCUCUUGGAUUGAUUCUUCUACCGUUUCAAUUUGAUCCAAAUUUCACAUUUUUUUUUAAUUAAACAUAUUGAUCAGAUUUAUAUAAUGAACAAAUGUGUAAAAUAUAAAAAAGCACACUUAUCAGGAACCUAGAUCAUCUUUGUAUUACAACAUAUUAUUGAUUAUUGAUGAAAGAAUCGUGUAAAUUUUCAUUAAUGGUAACAAAAAUUCAACCAAAAUGCAUUAUAGGAAUGGAGGCACACUUGGUUGGGCACAACCCCAAAUGAAAAUAUUUGGGGGAUCAAAUUUUUAUGCAUUUAUUCUAGACAUAUUAUAAUUGGCCUACAAACAUGUAAAUACUAAAUGGUAUAUUAUUAGCUUAAUUAGACUCAGAUCUCAUUACAUAAUCAUUCUAGUUGAAUUCCAUGAAACCAUCAAAAGAUCACACUCACCUCCAACAAAGUCUUUCUUUUUGCUUUAGUGAGUGAUUCCCUUCAAAUUCUGCUGGAGUUCCUGAGAAUCCCGUUCCUUUGCAAGGUUAGUAAAAUUUUAUGUUUAAUUGUGGAAUAUGGCCUGAUGCUAUUAUUCAUCAUUGAAUUUGUCUAUGAUUGAGCGUAAGAAGAAGCAAUUACAAACAUCACUUUAAACUAAGCACCGUUUAUAUUUCAUUACCCUUUUUUUAACAUUGAAAGUUCAUACUCUUAGUAAUUAGCAAGGGAUGACUGUACAUAUAGAUUCCUUAAUAUUGAAUCAAUUGAAAUAAGUGAUAUAGAUACUUUCAAGACCCUUCUUUAUUCCCUCGUAGCAGAGUGUCAGUGUGUGUGUUGGUGUGUGAGGGAUAUUUAUAUCAUGUCAAACUAAGGUCACAAUAUAAUAAUUGUUACCUCUUUGAAAAGACUUGAUCACAAACAUGGCAUACUCCAUCGUUGCUUAAUAUCUCAUUGGCAUCUUCAGUGCAUGUUAACUAUGUUAAGGAAACCAGAACAAUGUGAAUAACCACUUGAAUAACAGAACAAAUAGGAGUAUCUACCUAAUUUGAUAUGAACUAUACUGAUUUUAUUUACUGAGUUUCCUCAUUAUGUUUUAAAUUAACAUGGAAAUGACAGGGAUGCUAUUACUGUAUCAGUUAUAAAUUUAAUAAAUUCUAUACGACAAUAAACCACCAAGCCUUAUUAUACAAGUUCCAAGUUUCACACUGAUCAAUUUUGUAAUCUUAAUUUUCUCUUUGUAGGUUUUGAACCAUUUGUUAUAUCUUAUGAGAGUUUCAGAAAAGGCACUCCAAAGACGAGAGUUGCUUUGGCUCUUUGUCAUCUUUGUUUUGCAGAUGACCAGAGAAAAAUAUUUAUUGACCACAAUGGGCUGGAGUUGCUUAUUGGACUUCUUGGUUCAUCGUGUCCUAAGCAGCAACUCGACGGUGCCGUGGUAAACCUCAAAUAAGUCUCGAGUUCUUGGUUCAUCCUGGAGUUGCUUACAAGACUAAGAAUGGAUAUGAUGCAUUUUGAAUAUGAUGGUGUAUGGUGUAGAACCACCUGAAAGUGCAGUAUUGAAUGGAAGAAAAUCAGGUGAUUUUACAACUCUGAAUGUUCAUAUUGAUGGUUUUAAUUGGUCUUUCAAAGACAUUGGCUGAAGAUGCUGCACGAUCGUUGGUGGCGAAGGUGCAUAGCUGAACUAAUGAAGCAAUUCUUUGCAAGAGGCAGUUCUGGUGUGUAGAUCAAGUAAUUUUUAUGAGUGUUGGGUAUCAAUAGCAACCUGCAAAAUCUUGCAGACUAAAGCUGAUGAGAUAGCAAAAUUGAUGAAUGAGAAUGAACAAUUCCAAGCUUUAAUUGAAGAUUUGAAGAAAGGGAUGAUGCUUGAUAGUGUGGAGUUAACAGGAAGUACAAGUUGGCUUGGAGUUGACAGGUUCUUUAGGUGUGAUUUACAUUCAUUAGGUGUGGUAAAGUAUUUUUAGUUGGUUUGGUUUGAUGUUGGUGCUGCCAUCAAAUUUGCCUUUGUUAAUUGCUCAGCUGGUCUAUGCAUAAAGUUUACAAGUUCUCUGCACAUCCUUAAACUAUGCAAUGUGCAAUAUUCAUUAAUUUACAAUCAUUAUAUCUCAUCUUAGGUGUUGAAUUUGUGAUUAAGCUCUUCUAUUUGUGACUUCAAUUUCAUGUUUGUAUUUUGGAUAUUGAAUUACUGAAAUGCACUUAUCAAUUAGGCUCCAA